rnacentral:rRNA from 1 species
UGUCAGUAUUCUCACUUCUCUGAUCUCGUUGUUGGGUAACCAGCUUCGAAUCUUUGGAGUGGUUUUGUUGGGGUGUUGACUUUGGGGUUUGAGGUUUCGGCUUCUCAUUCUGGAUCAAGACAAUAACAGAACUCUUGUCCGUUUACCUUGAAUAAAAUAGAGUGUUCAAAGCAGGCUGUAACAAAGAAAAAUGCCUUGCAUAUGUUAGCAUGGGAUAAUGGAAUAAGACUUUGAUCUUUGCGGUGAUGUGUUGAAAGGGUUUUUGAAGUGCAGCGAUGUAUUUCAAACCAGUCUUUUUCGUUGGUUUUCACAAGAUCGAGGGAAUGAUUGACAGGGACAGUCGGGGGCAUUCGUAUUUAAUCGUCAGAGGUGAAAUUCUUGGAUUGAUUAAAGACGAACGACAGCGAAAGCUUUUGCCAAGGAUGUUCUCAUUAAUCAAGAACGAAAGUUGGGGGAUCGAAGAUGAUCAGAUACCGUCGUAGUCUCAACCAUAAACGAUGCCGACCAGGGAUCAGGAAGUGUUUCUUAUUUAAUAAAUAAUGGCCUUCCUGGCACCUUCUGGGAAACCAAAAGUCUUUGGGUUCUGGGGGGAGUAUGGUCGCAAGGCUGAAACUUAAAGGAAUUGACGGAGGGGCACCACCAGGAGUGGAGCCUGCGGCUUAAUUUGACCCAACACGGGGAAACUCACCAGGUCCAGACUAAAAAAGGAUUGACAGAUUGAGAGCUCUUUCUUGAUUUUUAGCAUGGUGGUGCAUGGCCGUUCUUAGUUGGUGGUGUGAAUUGUCUGGUUAAUUCCGUUAACGAACGAGACCUCUGCUUGCUAACUAGUAAUGCCAACUCCACUGUUAAAAAGAGUUGGUUCUUCUUUUGUCAUGAUUUUGGUAGCAAUAUCAAGGUUGUGGCAGGAGGGGGAUCAGUUGUGGAACUGGUGAUUUGGGUGUGAAUUGAUUGGGUUAAACUGAUUGGUUUCCACUUGAGUUCCAGCAGAAGCCUCUUGGUAGGGUUGAGCAGCAUACUUCUUAGAGGGACCACUUCGCAGUAUCAUCGAGUGGAAGUUUGAGGCAAUAACAGGUCUGUGAUGCCCUUUAGAUGUUCUGGGCCGCACGCGCGCUACAAUGGCAAGGUCAACGAGUGUAUCACCUUGGCCGAAAGGUCUGGGUAAUCUUUGGCAAACCUUGUCGUGCUGGGGAUAGAUCAUUGCAAUUAUUGAUCUUCAACGAGGAAUUCCUUGUAAGCGUGAGUCAUCAACUCGCGCUGACUACGUCCCUGCUCCUUGUACACACCGCCCGUCGCUCCUACCGAUUGAAUGAUCCGGUGAAGUUUCCGGAGCAAGGUUCCCUGAUUGAGUUCGCUCAACCAAAGCCUUCUUUGAGCAAAGUUAACUGAACCUUAUCAUUUAGAGGAAGGAGAAGUCGUAACAAGGUAUUCGUAGGUGAACCUGCGAAUGG